ensembl:snRNA U5 U5 spliceosomal RNA
ACUCUUGUUUCUCUUUAGAUUACAUAAAUAUUUGUGCCUUUUACUAAAAAUUUCCAUGCAAGGGAACAACAAGGUUAUCCUAAAUUUGUGAUGCCCUACUGAGAGGUAGGGU